CUUCUUUAAAUAAAAAUCACGCAAAAGCCCCGUUAGAUCAGCUAAUACUCAAAUGGAUGUUCUUCUGUUUGCAUGCCGCCUCUGAUCACGUUGGAUUUUUCUUCCUCUUGGUCCUUUUUUUUUAACAAAUGAAUAUUGUUUGUGUAAUGCAGUCAUAAUAUUUACGCAGGGACGGUGCAGGAGUGAGGUGGAGGCUCAGCCGAGCUCGGAGCGCAGAAACUCGGAUGAGGACUUGAGCUCCACUCCUGCACAUCCACUUAGAGGCUCGAAGGGGCAGGCGGCUUCAGUUUGGCCACAGGAAGCAGUGAGUUCUUUGGAGAAGGGAAGACUUCUCAUGGGGGAGCAUGCUCUCUCUCCCCCCUUCUCCUCCUCCUUCACCCACUCACUACCCCAAAAUGACCCCUGACCCUUUCAUCUGUUUAUAUCAGAGCAUGGAAGUGAGAAAUAGUGAUGAGUCACUCUAGCCGUGUGUUUACACUCUGGAGUCACGCAAGGAAGGAAAUAAGCCACGGUCUGCUAAAAGUGGAGAGGUGAGAGGGCUGCUGUGAUUUACCUCUCAGACUAGAAUUGAUUUUGCGUCAUCUCUGCUGAGAAAAAGCUUCACCCGCAGACAACAGCAGCUUCAGCGGCACAGAGGACUGUGGUCGAAGGGAAAGGCCGACGGAGAAGGUCGAAACGCAGAGUCAGGGCAGCGUGUCGGUGGGCCGCUCACUACACCCUGCACAUUGUUUAAGGAGAUUAAACCACAAGAAAACUCACAGUGGAUCUAAAUAUUAGACAAUUCUUAUGAAUUAUUGACAGAUACGUGGCUCCAUGAUUGCUGCCUGGAAUCGGGCCCAUCUUGGAAACAUCACUGUCCACACAUUCUGGGUUUAGUUUUGAGAAAGUGGUUUCAUUUUGAUUAUUGUACAUUUUACUCAACAAAUUUUUCAUUGGGAGUUAAAAAAAACUUUUUCUUGAGUUACAGAAAGAGCCCAACUCAAUCUGACAUUGCAAUGUUUACAGGCAGCAAUGACGCGCAUGCCUUUGUUAUGCUCAAAUGAUUAAUAGGGUUUAGCUUAUUUAACUAUUAAACAUAUUUUUUCUGUUCUUUCAUUUCUAAUGACGGAGUUUCAAAAUAUUUCGGAACUUAUAGAUUGUAGAAAAUGUAGAUUCUUUAGGAAAUUCCAAGUUUUGCACCUCAUAACUUUAUCAAACUUUAUAUGUUUUGGCCAUGGUUUUAAAAAAAAAAAAGUGAAACUGCAAUUAUUUAUAAUGAAGUGAUGACUUGAUUGUAUGACAGAUGGGUUUCAAUGAUCUAUGGUUAUCGUGUUAGCGGCUUAGAUAAACCAGGCAAUUGAGAUUUUGAUGGUUGACAUUUUCUUGUAGCUCCUAAACAGAUUUGACACAAAGAUUUUGCGCAUCAGUGUGUCUUGGUGAUUGUAUCCUUCAGGGAAAUUAAAAUGAAAUGAUGCAUAUGGGUUUGAGGGAUUAUAGCAGGUUUUUAUGAAUAAACAGCCUUUGAACACGUGCUUCUUCGUUCCGUGUCAUGUGAGGCGUGUUUACUGCGGCCUCCUCUGCUCUCAAACAGUGUCAUCCACGACAAGGGAUUUUACAUUUUGGCCAGGAAUAGCUAUUGUUUUUCACGGCAUGGCGGAAGUUACUGCCACUGAGUUUAGUAAAUAAAAGUGACACCGUACUUCUUUAUGUCGCCGCGCUGGUGCGAGCAGCUUCCCUGCUGACUCCAGCAAGUAUCCUUUUACACACCCCCAUACGCACCGCCACAAUGAUAGAGUCGGCAGCUCUUAUUUUUGCCGAUCUUUCCUGAAUUGUAAGCACUGUCAGGGGCUUUGAUUGAUAGCUGUGUUUAUCACCAUAUUAUUAAGUAAUCAGGCUCACCACAGCUGGGCCUGCAGCUCCUUAAUUCCAGCUGAAGCACACAGUUUCAAGCUAAUUAAAGGUUGGCUAAAUGGCUUUUGUGAAUUUUUUAAAAUAUAGUUCUCUCUUUUUUCAACUGUGCAGUGCUGAUUGUUGGAUUUGCAUUCUGUCUGGAGAAAUUUAGCAACAACCUUACAUACAGUACAAUCACCAGAGGAGAUUGCCGGGAAUGAAUGUUGGAUAUGACUCUAGAUUUUCGAAAAAUAUAAACUGUUGGUCUGUAUUGGCAUUAAACUCCUAAAAAUUAAUCUAAUUUAGUCAAUCAAUAUAAAUCUGUAGAGAUUUGUUUUCUUUGUAAAUCCAAAGAUAAACAAUGCAGUGUUCAAGGUAAAUGCAGCCAUGGUGGAGAAAAGAUGCUAAAAGAGAUCUUUGAAAAUUGUCAGCUCUUCAUAAGCAUGGCAAAUUUGCUAAAUGGCCACUUACUAAUAGAUUACAAAGCCCCUUUUUUUUAAAAACAAAAUCUAAAUCUAAGUUUGGUUGUGGGCAGUUUGACUGAGGGAACAAUCAGGCAGCAGAUGUUUCAUGUUGGAAAAUCCAGCUCUGUCCCUCUCUUUUUUAACCAAAUGGGGGAAGGAGUGCUCAAAUGACUGCGUGCAGGAGUUACAUAAAAUGAAUUUGAACUGGCCUUGAAUCAUAAUGAUGUCACACCCUGAACAAAAAAUGUUUUCUCUUUUAUUGUGUUUUUGAACUGGAUACCAGACUAACCUUUGCCGUCAGCGGUUUUUCUUUGUUGUUCUCUUCUGUAAUCCCUAACUUUGCAGCAUCAAAUUAAAUUAACUUAAAAUAGUUUUAUGAAAUUCAGCAAAGAUGCUGCAAAUGAACAACUUUAAUUUCUAUUUAAGAAAAGUAACACAAUUACAAGCAAAAAGUUUUUCGUAAAAUUGUCAAUAAAUGGGGUUUUUAGAAAGGUUAAUUCAGAAAAUGACCAAGUCAUAAGUGAAUUGUGUUGUUGUUUCAUAAAAAUGUGCUGCUAAAAAUAUUAAUUAAAUGUCAUACUAAGAUAUGUUGCCUCUGAUUGUGAUGCAAUUAUCAACCUUUGCUUUAUGUUGCACGCAUUAAUUAUGUAAUUGAAUGUUUAUAAUGUAUUUUCUGUGAGUGAUGCAUUUAAACUGAGUGAUUCUUCGGUUACUGAUUGUUUUAUGCUUUUGUUAAUAAAAUGGAAUUCAAUGCGAUGGGAA